rnacentral:rRNA from 1 species
CGGCGGACGGGUGAGUAACGCGUGAGCAAUCUGCCUCAUACAGGGGGAUAACAGGCGGAAACGCCUGCUAAUACCGCAUAAGACCACGCCACCGCAUGGUGGAGCGGUCAAAGGGUGCACAGACGAGAGGCUGUGCAUACCGGUAUGAGAUGAGCUCGCGUCCCAUUAGCUUGUUGGUGAGGUAACGGCUCACCAAGGCGACGAUGGGUAGCCGACCUGAGAGGGUGAUCGGCCACACUGGGACUGAGACACGGCCCAGACUCCUACGGGAGGCAGCAGUGGGGAAUAUUGCGCAAUGGGGGGAACCCUGACGCAGCAACGCCGCGUGAGCGAAGAAGGCCUUCGGGUCGUAAAGCUCUGUCAUAGGGGAAGAGGAGAAGACGGUACCCUAUGAGGAAGCCCCGGCUAACUACGUGCCAGCAGCCGCGGUAAUACGUAGGGGGCGAGCGUUGUCCGGAAUUACUGGGCGUA